GGAGGGGUACCGAAGUGGAUGUAACGGGCCCGACUCGAAAUCGGGUUGUCCUGCGAUGAGCGGGGCACGUGGGUUCGAAUCCCACCCCCUCCGCCA
rnacentral:tRNA from 1 species